CCUUUUCUUGUUCUUGAACCUCUCAACUGAUUCACGCCUCUUCUCAUCACUAAACUUAAAUCCUUCCGAGACUGCAACCAAAAUCCCAAAAUAUAUCAAAAAAUAUUUAACAUACAAAACAAACGUGACAUUGCUAUUAAGCAUAAAGAAAUAAUUAAUUUAGAGUAAUUAAGAAAAUUUCUGAAAUUAUUAUUUUAUCAAAUUAAGCAUAAAAAAUGACAAAACAAGUAAAGGGGGGACAAAAUAUUUUAAGUCUGGAACAUUUUUGCCUUGUUCAGAGUGUAAGCAUAUGGUAAACCAUCAUAUUUUUCCCCUAAAUUGAAAUUAGGGUUUCGAAUUGAAAUUGAAAACAGAAAAAACAAGCUACUCACAGAUUACAAUGGGUAGAACAAAACAAUUGUCAAGAGAACACAGAAGAGAAUAGAUAUCAUGAGGAUAUGUAAAGGGGAAUUGAAGCCUGGAAACCAGGGCCAUGAUUCAACAUUGAAAGCUGUAACUUCAAUUGCUGAGUGUCUUAUUGGAGAUCACAUUGCUGCUAUUCUCUUCACUAAAAGAAUUGUUUUUACAGCAAUGGAAGGAAACAAAUGCUUUGUAUGAAAAUAUGGGUUUAAUGUAAUUGAAACUCAAACUGAUUAACGGUUGCUUCUUUGUGCAUUUUGGCAUGACGCUGAGAUUAAUUUACCGAAACUUUGUAUAUAUUUUUUAUGCCCAUGCCGAUCAUGAAUUUAUGAUAUUUUAAUGAAUAAAUAUGAGUAAGUCUAAAUAUUUUAUGAUAAAAAUAGUAGGAAAACACGAUGAAGAUGUGAAAUGAGCAUUUAUUCCAAAACAGGUGGGUGAGAUUUCUAGUUUAAAUAAUUUAGAAUGUAAUGAUCGAAGGAAUGAAAAUUAAGACAUUUUCUCUAAUUAUCACAAAUCUAUAUUAUAAAUUUUGUUUCAUUUUCUUCACAUUCCAUUAAUGUAAAUGCAGUGGUGCUUCAGGACUAGACUACAAAGAUGGGGUUGAAAAUAAGGUAGGAAUUGGUGUUAAAUGGAAUAUUACUCUGCCUGGGAUGAUAUACCUGGUCUUGUUAAUAGAUAUAGGAGAUGAAGUAACAACUUACGCUGUUGCCUGAAUUGGGACGAUGCAGAAGUUCAGGCUACUCUUUAAAUAGUUGAAUUUUUUUAACUCCCAGUGAUCGUAAAGAAUUUAUUAAAAAUCUUCUCGUUCCGUGCCAAAUUAUAUAAGCGAGAAUUUAGAUCUAUAAAUUAUUAUUAUUAUCAUUACAAAUAAAAAAAUCAAGUUCCCAAUUAUCUGAAAUUGAAUUACGGCACGUCCCAAGUUGAGGGGGGCCUUGAUCUAAUUGUGCUGAAAACCACUGCUAACUUUUUCUGGGAUAACAACAAGAACGCCGAGUUUGUUAAUGGCAAUUUUAGUGAAUUGACCACAUUUGGAAUCAGUAAUUGUUUUAUGUAAUCAGUAGAAAAAAAGUUAAUUUUGUCAUUGUUUCAUCCAAUUCAUAGUAUUAUUGAUCAUUUAGAUAAAACUAACUAGUAACUUGGUAUUUUCUUUGGAGGGUCUGUGUAGGAUGUCUUCCUACUGAGAAAGCUCUUGCUCAGAAAUGUGUCAGUGUUGAUAUACAAUGCCCAUGGUGUCACAGUGGCUUAGAGAGCGAUACUCAUGUUCUCUUCCUAUGCGAUUUUGCACAAACAGUAUGGGCGUAACAAAUGGGUCUGGGACAAAGCAAAUGGUUCUAUAUUUGGGGUUCGAGCUGCAGCCACCAAUUUACUACACGAUUGGCAGGAAGCACAAGUUUGUGGUCUAAAUAGCAACUCCCAAGGAACUGUUAGUGCAAGAAGAUGGCAGAAACCACCAGAUGGAUGGGUUAUAGUGAAUAUCGAUGCUGCAAUCUUUCAGAAUGGGAGCAUUGGAUUUGGGAUGUGUGAUACGAACUCACAGGGACAAUUUCAACGAGCGAGAUGCAGGAGAAUUGACGGAGCAUGGCAACCACGGGAGGCGGAAGCUUUAAGCUUGAAGGAGGCUCUAUCUUGGGUAAAAGAUCUCCAACUUAGCCACUGUAUGUUUCAGUCAGACUCGAAAGUGCUGGUAAAUGCAUGCAAUGGUAAGGCAGGAGAAGCGUAUUUUGGUACUAUUGUGCUGGACUGUGUUCAGCUAUUGAAGCACAUAAAUCACGUGCUAGUUGAGUUUAUCUAUAGGUCUGCGAAUAGUGUAGCGCAUUUGUUAGCACAAGCUGCAUAUUCUAUGUCAGACUUAGGGAGUGGCAUGUUAAUCCACCUGAUUUUAUUACUCAUGUACUUGAU